UCCAGGGUAGCCUAGUGGACAUGCAAUUUGCCAGGUAUGCGGAACAUUGUGGGUUCGAUUCCCAUCCCUGGAC
rnacentral:tRNA from 1 species